rnacentral:rRNA from 1 species
CGUCCUAUUAGCUAGUUGGUGAGGUAAUGGCUCACCAAGGCUACGAUGGGUAGGGGUUCUUAGUGGAAGGUCCCCCACACUGGCACUGAGAUACGGGCCAGACUCCUACGGGAGGCAGCAGUAGGGAAUAUUGGUCAAUGGGCGCAAGCCUGAACCAGCCAUGCCGCGUGCAGGAUGAAGGCUCUCUGAGUUGUAAACUGCUUUUGUACAGGAGCAAAAAAAUCCCUGCGGGGGUCCUUGAGAGUACUGUAAGAAUAAGCACCGGCUAAUUCCGUGCCAGCAGCCGCGGUAAUACGGGAGGUGCAAGCGUUAUCCGGUUUUAUUGGGUUUAAAGGGUGCGUAGGCGGCUUAUUAAGUCAGUUGUGAAAUCCUAGUGCUUAACGCUAGAACUGCGAUUGAUACUAUU